GGGAGGAGAACCCUUCCAAUGGGAGAAGUAGUUUCCAUAACAUGGUAAUGAAAAUUCUGUGAAGAUGAGAAAGUAGCAUAGCCUGAAGAAGGAUGAAGACAUGAAGACAUCUUUGACCUUGGCUUCCUCUUUAAAUUGGAUGUUAGUAUCAGUCAAUCUGAAGGUGCUGUCCUGGGGGAAAGAGGGGAACAUUGUUCCCUUAAAGCUAAGCAGAGCAGCUGAUGGAAAAUGGAUUUGCCAAGAAGAUUUCAAUUUAACUGGAUUCCAUGUGAGUCUACUCAACCAACAUUAUAAUCAAGUGGCAGCACUGUGACGUAAUGAGGAAGGGGAAAAAGAAGGUAAAGUAAGGUCUAGACCUUGCCUUCAUAGAGCUUAUGGUCUAUGUGAAGAAGGAAUUGGACUAAAUGUUCUGCAAGGUCUUUUACAAGAUCUUUGAAAAUGUAUUUUUGAUAUACCAGUG